GCUACGGGAGGCAGCAGUGAGGAAUAUUGGUCAAUGGACGGAAGUCUGAACCAGCCAUGCCGCGUGCAGGACGACGGCUCUAUGAGUUGUAAACUGCUUUUGUACAAGGGUAAACCUGAAUACGUGUAUUCAGCUGAAAGUACUUUACGAAUAAGGAUCGGCUAACUCCGUGCCAGCAGCCGCGGUAAUACGGAGGAUCCAAGCGUUAUCCGGAUUUAUUGGGUUUAAAGGGUGCGUAGGCGGAGUGAUAAGUUAGAGGUGAAAUGUCCGAGCUUAACUCGGGAACUGCCUCUAAUACUGUGGAGCUAGAGAGUAGGUGCGGUAGGCGGAAUGUAUGGUGUAGCGGUGAAAUGCUUAGAGAUCAUACAGAACACCGAUUGCGAAGGCAGCUUACCAAUCUAUAUCUGACGUUGAGGCACGAAAGCGUGGGGAGCAAACAGGAUUAGAUACCCGAGUAGUC
rnacentral:rRNA from 1 species